CAAGGGGUGGAAAAUGUACCGUCACCCGGAAGAGUUUUCUGAACAACAACAACGCCGGUGUCUCUGGCUAACCUCGACUCUUUGAUCGAAAUUGAUUGGGACCUGAACGAAGCUGAGUCAUCCUCUUCCUCCUCCUCAUCUUCCUCAUCCCAACAAUUAAAGUCUCUGGGAAGGAGCAUAAUAAGGAAAAGAGAUUCAAACCAGGAGCUGCUUGAAUAUUUACGGACUGCAGAUGAGCGGUUCCUGCAACUCGGCAGAGAACUUCAUGAAUCCAUGCUGAAUAAAAAUGGGCGAAACUACAAAGUCAUUUCUGGCACUGUUGGGCCGUAUAGUUGUGGUGAUGGAGGGUCAGCAGGGACGCCAUGCUUAAACAUUUCUCAAUAUACAAACUUUAACGUAAUAACGUUGUGUAGAUUUCUUCUUGCUGUGGGCGGUCAGCUUUCAAGGGAAAAUGGCGAUUCGUUUUUUGAUGACGAUAAUUUGUGGUGACUCUAAAGUUCUUGAUGAAUUGGGCCGGAGUGAAUUUAGGAACAAUGGUCCAAUCCCACCAGUGAAGCGAGCGUGAAUACGGCAACACUGCAGACAUUCGACUUCUCAUCAUAUGCAAGGCUAUCUGUUUAUUAAAAUUAUUAUAGAGUAGAGGAUACCAUGAGCUCAGGUUUGAGCCAGUGGUCUUGGUGCUUCAAGACAACUGCACUAACCAUUGCACCACCACAGAGGCAUGGUUUUACAGUUGAGCCAACAACAGGCUUACAGUUAUUUUGUUAAGUAUCACUCAAACAGAACCAUUUGCUGGUUCUACUGGUGGGUCAAUGUGCAGGUCAGUGUGUUAAUGGUUUUAAUAAAUCUUUUUGGCCUGCCACCAUAUCAGUGAAUUUAAACUAAUGCUUGCAUUCAGAGUAUAAGGGGAGGGUGUGUGUGUGCAUGCGUGCGCACGCGUGUCUGUGUGUGUGUCUGUGCGUUUACAAGUGCACCGCCACUGUAGCCUCCACUCAUUGUCAGACAGUGUUUGAUAACUAAAAUAUCCCUCUCUCUCUCUUUUUCCCAGUAUCAGCAGGGGAGGAUGUCCUCCAGGAGAGUUUUUAAUAAAAUUUUUUGAAAUUUAUUUUUAUAACACACCGUGGUAUCGACUUUGGUAUCGACUAUCGUGUACUUUCGGUGGUAUCGGUACCGACUACUAGACUUUUGGUAUCGUGACAUCCCUACUUCCCACUCUUUAGAAGGGUUUCAAAUGUUUGCCGUCAGGACAGGCGUUUCCCCUGCUGAAGAAAUGAAACGACAGCUGCUGCUCAGCAGGAGACGAAGAACCCGUUCCGUCCCAAACAUCCUCUCUUUUAAAUCGAAUCGGAUGGGGCGCACUCCAUUCACAUUUCGCCGUCCAUCCCAUUUCCAGAUUUUGGUACUGACUAACGAAGGAGAGAAUGUUUACUAUUGGGUGUUUGGCUUGUCUUUGUCUCCGCCCGCUUUUUGACCUCCUAACCUUUUCACCCCUCAGUCCGCCCAGGUCAGGAUCCCCAAAUCGGAGAAGAGAGGACUCCGAGAGCAAUCUGAAAAAGUGACUCGCACGUUUUUGGUGGGGUUGUUUUUUGUUGGGGUUUUUUUUUCUGUUUUACAUGAAUUUUCUUUUUUUUUGCCAAACUUUUUAUUUAUCAAAUUACAAACCAUUACAUCUAGAGAAAUAUCAUUCACAGUUGUAAAAAAGGAAAAAAAAGUAUUCUAUUGAAGCAGCAUGAUGAUUAAUUUUAGUAGUUUUGUUAUGCAACAAAAGUUUGCGAAAUGGAGUGUUUAGAGUGAUGAGUGCAUGCAUGGUGUGUCGUGUCGUGUGCCCUGUCAUGUCAAGUAUGUGCUGAAUCCGAUAUUAAACUUUUAUUGCUAUUUGUUCAAA